rnacentral:rRNA from 1 species
GACGAACGCUGGCGGCGUGCUUAACACAUGCAAGUCGAACGGAAAGGCCCUGCUUUUGUGGGGUGCUCGAGUGGCGAACGGGUGAGUAACACGUGAGUAACCUGCCCUUGACUUUGGGAUAACUUCAGGAAACUGGGGCUAAUACCGGAUAGGAGCUCCUGCUGCAUGGUGGGGGUUGGAAAGUUUCGGCGGUUGGGGAUGGACUCGCGGCUUGUCAGCUUGUUGGUGGGGUAGUGGCUUACCAGGGCUUUGACGGGUAGCCGGCCUGAGAGGGGGACCGGCCACAUUGGGACUGAGAUACGGCCCACACUCCUACGGGAUGCAGCAGUGGGGAAUAUUGCACAAUGCGCGGAAGCCUGAUGCAGCAACGCCGCGUGCGGGAUGACGGCCUUCGGGUUGUAGACCGCUUUCCCCUGUGACGAAACGUGAGUGACGGUAAUGGGUAAAGAAGCACCGGCUAACUACGUG